CAACCCAUCAAGCCCACGGCUUGUGUUGGGGACCUGCGGCUGCCCGCAGGCCCUGAAAACCAGUGGCGGGCUCGCUAGUCACACCGGGCGUAGUAGCAUACGACCUCGCUCAGGGCGUGCUGCGGGUUCCAGCCGUAAAACGACCUUCACAACCCAA
rnacentral:misc_RNA from 1 species